CGGACAUUGUUACAUUGCGAGCCCAACUGCCAUGAAUUAAUAUUGGAUGACUUCAGAGCUAAAUUGUAAGAGACUCGGUGCUUACAUGGUUACAAUAGACAAUGACGAGGAGAAUCAUUGGAUCAUGGAUGUUUUUGUGCCGUGGGAUACUGCUACCUGUUCGAUAUUGUGGAGAUGUUGUAAUACCUGGAUAGGGACAAUUGACAUAGAUCAAGAAGGUUUAUUUACCUGGACCCAACA